GAUGAACGCUGGCGGCGUGCCUAACACAUGCAAGUCGAGCGAACCCUUCGGGGUGAGCGGCGGACGGGUGAGUAACGCGUGGGUAACCUGCCCUAUACACACGGAUAACGUACCGAAAGGUACGCUAAUACGGGAUAAUAUUGUUGGAUGGCAUCUUCUAACAAUCAAAGCUCCGGCGGUAUAGGAUGGACCCGCGUCUGAUUAGCUAGUUGGUGAGGUAAUGGCUCACCAAGGCGACGAUCAGUAGCCGACCUGAGAGGGUGAUCGGCCACACUGGAACUGAGACACGGUCCCGACUCCUACGGGAGUCAGCAGUGGGGAAUAUUGCACAAUGGGCGAAAGCCUGAUGCAGCAACGCCGCGUGAGCGAUGAAGGUCUUCGGAUCGUAAAGCUCUGUCCUCAAGGAAGAUAAUGACGGUACUUGAGGAGGAAGCCCCGGCUAACUACGUGCCAGCCGCCGCCGUAA
rnacentral:rRNA from 1 species